rnacentral:tRNA from 1 species
AGCAGAGUGGCUUAGUGGGAAGAGCACAGGCUUGGGAGUCAGAGGUUGGGGGUUCUGAUCCCUGCUCUGCCA